GAAGCAAGAUCUGAUAAAUAGAUCUCUAUUGGGUUUUCCUUUUCUUGCACUUUAGUUUACAUGUGUCAAGGCCUGCUGAAGUGAAGAAACGGAGAAGAAAUUUUAGUGGCAAAAAGAUUCCACAUUAUUCCAUUUCUGGAGUAGCAACUAGCAAGAGAGGUGGAGGGUUUUUCUGUAAAUCUGCUGUGUCGGUUAGUGGGGUUGGACUUUGGAGGGUUUCAGAGUGACCCAUGUGAAAAAAGGAUCUUUCUUGACACAAGACUCCGUCGUGUAAUAGACUCGUGUCAUGGGGUAGUGGUGGGU